AAUAGAUACCCGGGUAGUCCACGCCCUAAACUAUGUCAACUAGUUGUCGGGGAAGAAAUUCCUUGGUAACGCAGCUAACGCGUGAAGUUGACCGCCUGGGGAGUACGGCCGCAAGGUUAAAACUCAAAGGAAUUGACGGGGACCCGCACAAGCGGUGGAUUAUGUGGAUUAAUUCGAUGCAACGCGAAAAACCUUACCUACCCUUGACAUGUACGGAAUUCCGCAGAGAUGUGGAAGUGCCCGAAAGGGAACCGUAACACAGGUGCUGCAUGGCUGUCGUCAGCUCGUGUCGUGAGAUGUUGGGUUAAGUCCCGCAACAAGCGCAACCCUUGCCAUUAGUUGCUACAUUCAGUUGGGCACUCUAAUGGGACCGCCGGUGACAAACCGGAGGAAGGUGGGGAUGACGUCAAGUCCUCACGGCCCUUAUGGGUAGGGCUUCACACGUAAUACAAUGGUCGGUACAGAGGGCUGCCAACCCGCAAGGGGGAGCUAAUCCCAGAAAGCCGAUCGUAGUCCGGAUUGUAGUCUGCAACUCGACUGCAUGAAGCCGGAAUCGC
rnacentral:rRNA from 1 species